GGGGCCUCCAGAAGUUCACGCCAUUUGCAGCGGGGAGGAGCCUGUUCCUGUGUGGCGACCUGGGCUUCAAUCUGUGAGGCGGGAAACCUGCUAGCAGGACUCUUGCUUUGUGGUCUCCUGUGAGAAGAACAUACCCCAGGUAGCCUCUUCUUUGAGAAGCACAAGGAAACACGUGGUGGUGGAACUGAACACAACCCACAGCCUGGAGCUAAACCCAACCUAAGCCAGCCAAGCUCUUCCAAGAUCACCCAAACUCAAGUUGACCUGUAGAUCCAUGGGCAAGGAAAGAAAUGCCUGCUGUUUUAAGAUCUCAAGUUUUAGGUUGAUUUGUUAUGCAGCAUUAUUGCAGUAAAAAUGAAC
rnacentral:lncRNA from 1 species